rnacentral:rRNA from 1 species
GAUGAACGCUGGCGGCGUGCCUAAUACAUGCAAGUCGAGCGAACAGACGAGGAGCUUGCUCCUUUGACGUUAGCGGCGGACGGGUGAGUAACACGUGGAUAACCUACCUAUAAGACUGGGAUAACUUCGGGAAACCGGAGCUAAUACCGGAUAACAUGUUGAACCGCAUGGUUCAACAGUGAAAGACGGUUUUGCUGUCACUUAUAGAUGGAUCCGCGCCGCAUUAGCUAGUUGGUAAGGUAACGGCUUACCAAGGCAACGAUGCGUAGCCGACCUGAGAGGGUGAUCGGCCACACUGGAACUGAGACACGGUCCAGACUCCUACGGGAGGCAGCAGUAGGGAAUCUUCCGCAAUGGGCGAAAGCCUGACGGAGCAACGCCGCGUGAGUGAAGGAGGUCUUCGGAUCGUAAAACUCUGUUAUUAGGGAAGAACAAAUGUGUAAGUAACUAUGCACGUCUUGACGGUACCUAAUCAGAAAGCCACGGCUAACUACGUG